GAGGGUAUAGCUCAGUGGUAGAGCGCAUGCUUAGCAUACACAAGGUCCUGGGUUCAAUCCCCGGUACCUCUU
rnacentral:tRNA from 1 species